UGGCUCAGAACGAACGCUGGCGGCAGGCCUAACACAUGCAAGUCGAGCGCCGUAGCAAUACGGAGCGGCAGACGGGAGAGUAACACGUGGGAACGUGCCCUUCAGUUCGGAACAACCCAGGGAAACUUGGGCUAAUACCGGAUACGUCCGUAAGGAGAAAGAUUUAUCGCCGAAGGAUCGGCCCGCGGCUGAUUAGCUAGUUGGUGAGGUAACGGCUCACCAAGGCGACGGUCAGUAGCUGGUCUGAGAGGAUGAUCAGCCUCACUGGGACUGUUUCUCGGCCCAGACGAAUACGGGAGGCA
rnacentral:rRNA from 2 species